UGCAGUCGACGGGCUCUUCGGAGCAAGUGGCGGACGGGUGAGUAACGCGUGAGAAUGUGCCUUGAGGAUGGGGAUAACAAUAGGAAACUAAUGCUAAGACCCAAUGUGCCUUAAGUGGUGAAAAAUGAAAAUUGCCUGAAGAGGAGCUCGCGUCUGAUUAGCUAGUUGGGGUGGUAAAAGCGCACCAAGGCGACGAUCAGUAGCUGGUCUGAGAGGAUGAGCAGCCACACUGGGACUGAGACACGGCCCAGACUCCUACGGGAGGCAGCAGUGGGGAAUUUUCCGCAAUGGGCGAAAGCCUGACGGAGCAAUACCGCGUGAGGGAGGAAGGCUCUUGGGUUGUAAACCUCAAAACUUAGGGAAGAAAAAAAUGACGGUACCUAAUUUAAGCAUCGGCUAACUCCGUGCCAGCAGCCGCGGUAAUACG
rnacentral:rRNA from 2 species